rnacentral:rRNA from 1 species
AUACGAAGGGUGCAAGCGUUGUUCGGAUUUACUGGGCGUAAAGCGUCCGUAGGUGGUUUGUUAAGUCAGGGGUGAAAUCCCGGGGCCUAACCCCGGAACUGCCUUUGAUACUGGCAGGCUGGAGCGCGAUAGAGGAAGAUGGAAUAUCUGGUGUAGGGGUGAAAUCCGUAGAUAUCAGAUAGAACACCAAUGGCGAAGGCAGUCUUCUGGAUCGUUGCUGACACUGAGGGACGAAAGCGUGGGUAGCAAACAGAAUUAGAUACUCUGGUAGUCCACGCCCUAAACGAUGCAUGCUUGUUGUUGGUUUCCUUCGGGGAAUCAGUGACGAAGCUAACGCGUUAAGCAUGCCGCCUGGGGACUACGAUCGCAAGAUUAAAACUUAAAUGAAUUGGCGGGG